AUUGUGCAUUGGCCUCACAGAGCACAUUGGCGCCUGUGCAGUGGCCGCCAAAAUGGUGGCCGCGCGCUCUUACGGAGGCCCGAAAGGCUCCAAAAUUUCUCACAUUACCCAGUCACAGCGGGCCAUGGUGGUGAUAAGGAAGGCCAGCGGGGGGAGAGGGAACCCAAGUGGACCCCCCCACAGCCUCAGCAAGCCCCCCGAAGGGGCUAAAGGCUAUAUUCCAGCCCUCCCCAAGGAGUUUCAUAGAAAAGGAACCUGAUCCUAAAAAUAUUUCCAGUAGUGACAGAGUAGAUAUACUGUGCAAUGGCAGGCAAGGCUAGAAUCCAAGAACCAAGCUGCAAAGAUCUCAAGCUAAAUAAGGCAGAGAGACUCAGAGAAGCAAGAGAAGGAAAUACUUUCCUAUCCAACAUGUACUCUUCACACUAAAGCACUCUAAAACUGUUAAAUAAAAAGUCUUUCAAACAA